AUUGAACGCUGGCGGCAGGCCUAACACAUGCAAGUCGAGCGGCAGCGGGUCCUUCGGGAUGCCGGCGAGCGGCGGACGGGUGAGUAAUGCCUAGGAAUCUGCCUGGUAGUGGGGGAUAACGUUCGGAAACGGACGCUAAUACCGCAUACGUCCUACGGGAGAAAGUGGGGGAUCUUCGGACCUCACGCUAUCAGAUGAGCCUAGGUCGGAUUAGCUAGCUGGUGGGGUAAUGGCUCACCAAGGCGACGAUCCGUAACUGGUCUGAGAGGAUGAUCGGUAACACUGGAACUGAGACACGGUCCAGACUCCUACGGGAGGCAGCAGUGGGGAAUAUUGGACAAUGGGCGAAAGCCUGAUCCAGCCAUGCCGCGUGUGUGAAGAAGGUCUUCGGAUUGUAAAGCACUUUAAGUUGGGAGGAAGGGCAGUCAGUUAAUACCUGGUUGUUUUGACGUUACCAACAGAAUAAGCACCGGCUAACUUCGUGCCAGCCGCCGCAGUAA
rnacentral:rRNA from 1 species